GUUGUUGCGGUUAAAACGUUCGUAGUCGUAUUUCUGCUUCGGAUCUUCCUUUCAAAAGUGAGAAUUCGAGCAUUGGUGUGGGCGGUUUACGUCACUUAAUUGUGCCGUUGCGUAAACCCACACUUAUUAUUUUGAGGAAAUUAGAGUGUUUAAACGUGCAUGGGAUGAAUAUAAUAGCAUGGGACAAUGUGAAACGGGGACGAGAUUGGCGUGGAUUUUGGCUCGGCCCAAUUUUCAAAAGGAGCAUUUGGGGGUAUCCGUAUUGAGCUGCUAGAGGUGAAAUUCUUGGAUUUUUUUAAGACGAACAAAUGCGAAAGCAUUUACCAAGGAUGUUUUCAUUGAUCAAGAACGAUAGUUAGGGGAUCGAAGACGAUUAGAUACCGUCCUAGUCUUAACAGUAAACUAUGCCGACUAAGGAUUUGUAAAUGUGAUUAUCACUUUGUUAGUACUUUAUGACAAAUCAAAGUCUUCGGGUUCCGGGGGGAGUAUGGUCGCAAGUCUGAAACUUAAAG
rnacentral:rRNA from 1 species